GGGGGGGGGGGGGGUUUCGCGGGCAGGGCGGAAUAAGAGCCACUGUGCUCAGGAAAUGGCAGCUACAAGGGUGACAGCCAGCGUCCGCAGAGAGAAGAGGAGAAACUCCCAUAGAUCGGAGGAGCA